CAAGUCGUACGCACCCGCAAGGGUGAGUGGCGGACGGGUUAGUAAUACGAUCGAACGUACCUCGAGGUGGGGGAUAGCGGCGGGAAACUGCCGGUAAUACCCCAUGAUCUCUCCGGAGCAAAGGGUAACCGCCUUGAGAUCGGCGAUCGUCCUAUCAGCUAGUUGGCGGGGUAACGGCCCACCAAGGCGAUGACGGGUAGCAGGUGUGAGAGCACGACCUGCAACAUCGGGACUGAGACACUGCCCGGACUCCUACGGGAGGCUGCAGCGACGAAUCUUCCGCAAUGGGCGCAAGCCUGACGGAGCGACGCCGCGUGUGGGAUGAAGCGCCUCUGGCGUGUAAACCACUGUCAGGGAACAGAAACACUGAUCGUUUCCAGAGGAAGGGGCGACUAACUCUGUGCCAGCAGUCGCGGUAAGACAGAGGCCCCGAGCGUUAAUCGGAAUCACUGGGCUUAAAGGGUGCGUAGGCCGGCCCGCAAGUGCUUUGUGAAAUCCCAUGGCUCAACCAUGGAACAGCGGGGCAUACUGCGGGUCUUGAGGAAGGUAGGGGUUGCCGGAACUGUAGGUGGAGCGGUGAAAUGCGUAGAUAUCUACAGGAACGCCGAUGGUGAAGACGGGCAACUGGGCCUUUCCUGACGCUGAGGCACGAAAGCGUGGGGAGCAAACAGGAUUAGAUACCCUGGUAGUCCACGCCGUAAACGAUGUACGCUAGAUCGGUGCCGCUCUCACGCGGGAUCGGUCGUAGUAAAAACGAUAAGCGUACCGCCUGGGGAGUACGGUCGCAAGGCUAAAACUCAAAGGAAUUGACGGGGGCUCACACAA
rnacentral:rRNA from 1 species